GGGCCCGCACAAGCAGUGGAGUAUGUGGUUUAAUUCGAAGAUACGCGAAAACCUUACCAGAACUUGACAUCCCGAGAAGUCCUCCGAAGGGAGGAUGUGUCGCUUGCGAAACUCGGUGACAGGUGGUGCAUGGUUGUCGUCAGCUCGUGUCGUGAGAUGUUGGGUUAAGUCCCGCAACGAGCGCAACCCUUAUUGCUAGUUGCCAGCAUUCAGUUGGGCACUCUAGCGAGACUGCCGUUGACAAAACGGAGGAAGGUGGGGAUGAUGUCAAAUCAUCAUGCCCCUUAUGUUCUGGGCUACACACGUACUACAAUGGGGAAUACAACGGGAAGCCAAGCAGUGAUGCGGAGCAAAUCCCUUAAAAUUCUCCUCAGUUCGGAUAGAAGUUUUGAAACUCAGCUUCUUGAAGCUGGAAUUGCUAGUAAUCGCGAAUCAGCAUGUCG
rnacentral:rRNA from 1 species